GCGGUCGUGGCGAAACUGGCAGACGCGCUAGCUUGAGGGGCUAGUGGUAGAAAUACCUUGGAGGUUCGAGCCCUCUCGACCGCA
rnacentral:tRNA from 2 species